AUAAACGAUUUUUCUUGUUGCAGGGGAUUGCAGUGGCAAAGCUAGGCUAGGUCUUGGAGGCUGGUGUAAGGCGAAGCGGGUGAAGGCAGGAGGCUGAUGGAGAGACUGAGGGGAAUAAAAGCCGAAAUGGAUUCACGGUGCCUUGGAUGGAGGACGAGAGGGGAAUUGCAAGCUCCUUCAACUCGUUCUGUCCGGUGAGAAGUGAUCAAGCUUGGGCUGACAAGAGGCUCAGGGAGCCCUCACGUUCUUUCGCUUUUUUACCUGCCAAUCAAACUGCUACAAGACAACACCCUGAUCUGGCAUGGACAUGGUACAGACAGGCAUGCAGAAGUAACUAGACGUCCAACACAUGCCAAGGUCUUGCGGGCCCAGGAUUUCGAACAAAAGAAAACUCGGUAACGUGACUGUAAAUCAAGGGCAUUUGAGACCAUAGACGCGCGCACCACUGCAAGGGUUAAUUGGAGGAGAGGGAAGAGAGAGGCUCCACCUUGCAGUCUGUGUGAACUUCGGCCAGAAAAAGAGCUGGAGCUCCAGCCGCCGCCGGUGGGAGCCCUGCAGUCCGCGGCACGCGGUCCCUUGUUGUGGGGCAGGUGUGGCGCCGGGUAGAGGCGGGGCGCAACCUGGAAACUGCCGCCUGAGCUGUGGCCCGCGCCCUGCCUACCCUUUGGCGCAUCUGUUUCUUUAUUGCCUGAAAGCCAUCCGACGCGUUGAAGGCGCGAUUAUCGACAAUUUGUCAGCCCGAUUUUGUCGCUUGCAAUAACUUUUGGUGAAGUUUCACUCUCAGGCCCUUGAGUUUCGGGAUGAGGAAAUGUGAUCCAACUUAGAAAUAAUGUUUCACUCAAGAUAAGGCUUGUGGUUUAGGAAGAUUCUGGCCUGGCUUGCUUCACUUUAAGUCUUCUAUCAUCUCUUUUCAAAACCUGAGGAGGACCUCAUUUCCUGUUUGAUAGUUCUUCAUGCUUUGCCAGCCUCCGGGUCUUUAAGGAAGCUUGCCAAGAGUUCCCGGCUGGGAAGGACAGUCUGAGUUCAUCAUAGAGAAUGAGCUGGCACCAGAGUUGUAGUGACUCACCAACCUCAUUGCCCACUCUGCAAUAGCAAGCACCACACUCUCUAAUUGAAAGACCUGUGUUUUAGUAAAGUGCAGUUGGAUCACAUGACAAAAUCAUCUCGAAAUAUAUUGCCAGUCUUUCCUUUCACUGGGUGUUUUGAACACAAGACAAGAAAGGAAAUUAAAUUCUGAAUUAUAUAUAUAUAUUUUUAAAUUAAGAUUAAUUAACAGAUACUUGGUUUUGUGUCCAUUCUGUUCUAGGAAUUUAGUGGUGAUUACAAAGCAGUGAAAAUAGGUCACAGCAAAGUGAACAUUCAAGAUUAGUUUAAAACAUUCCUCUGAAAUUUCAGUAUUCAUUUUUGGAGUGUCAGUUACUACAUUUCUGUAAUUCAUCAUUUUUCCUUACUUGGCUUAGAGUCAAGAUGAGAAAUGAUAUUUAGACCAAAGACAUUGUUUUGUUAUAUAGCCACUGCUUUUUAAAAUGCAAAACCACCCUCACCAGGGCUUAAUUGUUUGUGAGUGCUUCUGUUCACACACACACACACACACACACACACACACACACACACACACACACACUCUGUAUAAGGUCCUUUCAAGACUUCCAGGGCCUGGGUCAUGUAAGAAGUAGAUGAGAAAAUUCAGGGAGGGCCAGAGUAGUAACAACACUACAAGUCAGAGAUUUAACUUUACAAAAGGUUAUACGUUACACAGGCAUUUUUUUAAAGCAAGUAUUAAUAUGAUUAAAGAAUAUUUGACUUCUAAAUUAUUAUGAUUCUCAUCUAAUUUCAAGUCAUAUACAGGAGCCAUUUAAAAGUAUUUUGUAUUACAAUCUGUCACCAAAAUUCAACUAGUGGAGUUUUAUAAUGUGAUAGGUUUACCCCAUGGGGAAUUAAAUUUUAAUUCAUAAGUCUUUCUAUUGUUGUGGAACUUUAAGACAAGAUAGCAUUUGGUAUUAACAGAAAAAUAUUCUGUGGCUUUUUUUUUUUUUUUGAAGCUUUAAAUUGCUCUAAAAAAAGUUGCACCUUGAAUUUUUUCCUCUCAGCUUUCUUUUGUUAAGUGUAUCUUCAUGAUAUUGUUUUUAAUGUACAUAUUAUUUUACUAAGUCACUUGGUAAAAAAAUUUAGAAACAUGUAAUAAUGACCUCUUGCUUUUCUUCUAACUUUAUUAUUUCAAGUCAAGCAAAAAUGGAUACUUUUCUCCCAGAAAAAAAAAUUGCAUGUGUUUUUGAUGCAAAAAUGGUAAUUUAGUUACACUAUUUUAGAUUAGCAUUUAUGAUAGAUCUUAUUUCAAAGCUGAUUCUCAAAGAAAAUCAUAGAGAUAUUAGAAUAUUCCAAGUACAUUACAUUGUUGAAAAAGUAUUUUAAUACAUUAUUCAAAUUGUUGUCAGCUAUUAAUUUUUUAAAGUAGUAUCUGCUCCAAAUGUGAAAUUUUGCUUUUUUGAAAGAACUUACAAAUUCCAAUUUUGUUAGGAACAGCAGUGGAAAUUAAUAUAAAAGUCAUAGACAAUUUAGAGCUCCUUCAAUUUCCCCCCCCCCCCCUUUUAAACUUUAACUGUGAUAGGCAUCUCUGCAAGGUAGGUUUUAACAUAUUUUUUCCUAAUUUUUUUUUCCUCCUUUCAGUAAGAAGGAUAAGCUUUUAGAGUACCCAGUCACCGUGGUAACUGCCAAAAAAAUUCUCCUGAAGUUUGAAGAGGUCAGCUAGCAGGGUCAACAACUCUGGCCUCUCUCUGAGCUCGGUCUAGCAUGCCCCAGCCUGCGGUUGGAGUGUCAGGCCAGAUCUGACCCUGGGAGGUGGACUAUUCCGGCUCUGAUAUAAAUUUUUUGAGUCAGUUCAUGGCCUGGACUCUCCAGGUGGCCUCUAAAAUCGAUUUUGACCCCCUGACCCUGUCUCACGGAGGCAUAGCAUCCACCCUAAGUAAGGAUUUAGCCAGGAAUGACAGCUUUCCACUGAGUGUUAUUGGGGACAGUAUAAACAGUUUGGAAAGCAAGGAAGGAGGUGUGAGUGCUAGAAAUCAUUAAAAGCACAUUAAAAAACAAUUAAAUUUUUCUUUGCUUAAAAUAUUUAAUAUGUAUAUUUGUUAUAUAAUUCUACGUGUUUUGUAAGAUUUUUUAAAUAAAAAAAGUGUUGAAUAUAAAAACUCAAUGAACUACACAUCUUCAUCCUUUUAUAUACUUUGUUACAAAUAUGCAAAUAAGAUAGCCUGACUUGCAACAAAAUAGGUUCAGCAGGGAUGUAACAUGUAGGGAAAAGAGAAGCUAGUUAUUAAAAUACAUUAAUAGAUAAAGAGUUUCAAGUAUUGUAAAUAUUACAUUUCAUGUGCUUCUGUCUUGAAAUGUUUAAAAUGGGAAAAUAUGGAAUCUUAAAAAAAAAGUCUGGAAUGAAGAUAAACUUGCGCUUCACUUUAAGUGCCUUUCUACUUUGUAAAACAAAUAGGCACUCAUUUGGAUACAAUGAGAUAAACAUUAUAAAUAGAGGAAAUAAGAUCUUAUAGAGCUAAAGAGGAAAAAGCAAUAAAUUAAUAGUGUCUCCAAAUCAACUUUAAGUAUUUUCAAUAGUUUAAGAUAUCAGAAGCUUGCAAAGUAUAAUAGUAAUAAUGUGUGUAAAUCAUCAGUGAUUCUCCUCUUCCUUCUUCUUCUCCCUUGCCCCCUCCCCAAGAUGCCAAACUGAAAGUUUUAUUUUCUCCAGUAAAGUAGAGUUCCCUUUGAGCAUGUACUCAGUAUGUAAAUGUGGUCAUCAAGCAAGGCGGAACUGCCGAGAGGGAAGAUUUUGAAUGUUUCUUUCUCAAAACCUUUCACAGCAUUCCUGCUUCCAGUGGUACUUUACGCAGUUUCCCCCAUUUCCCAGCACUGUUGAAAUGGCACUGAAGCAACGCUGCAGUAGAUAAACCAAUUGUACUGUGGAGUUGUUGAGAUGACAUUUCAUCUGAAUCCUUUGUAAAAGUUAGAUUUUAAAUAGGGGUGAAUGUCCUUUCGGGAGAGGGGACAAGGGAGGAUGGAAGAAGAGGAGGAGGGGACUGAGCAGUUUAUAUACAUAUAUACUCUUUGUGUUUGAAGGCCUCUGUGUCUUAGCUUCUCACUAUGUUAAAUCCCUAUUAUAAAACUUAUCUUCACAAAGCCUAUUAUAGUAUUCUGAGAACAAAUUGGACCAUGAAUAACUUAGUUGGAAGUGUAGAUUAUUUUCUACUCAGGGAAAGUUAGAGAUGACAACAGCUUAACUAAAAGAAUAGUGAUUAACCUUAAAUAGAUGGAUUUCAAAGUUUCACUUUUGAUAAAGAGUACCUUUGAUAUUUCCCCUCUUCAGAUUCAUAUUUCCACUUUCUUUGUGUUAAGAAUUGUCCUAGUGAUUACACUGUCCACCUAAUAUAGCAUGGCUCUAACUGUAGAUCCUUUUCUUGCAGGUUGCUAAUCUGAGAGGGGACCAGAAAGACACUCUACUUCCUAUAGGUUAAAUAUAUGGUUCUGAAGUGGUCCCGCGCUUAGACAUCAAACUCACUGUUGGGAAUGAUAUCUUGCAUAAAUCAUAAUUCCUCAGCUAGAUAAAAUUAUUAUUGAAAAACAUCUUAGUUUUAUUUAAUGCCUUAGAGUUUACAAGGCACUUCUCAAUUCAUAAUUUUGUUUGAUCCAUAGAAUAAUGUCAUGAAAUAAAUAUCAUUAAUGCCAUUUUGCCAAGGAGACAGCUGAGUCAUUUGCACACUCUGAUCCACCUGAUAAAUGGAACUAGGAUAGCUCUCUUUAUGGCUUUCUAUUUCAAUUGAUUAACCUAUAGCAAUAGGCUUUUUAAUUUUUUAAAAGUUUUAUUGGAGUAUAGUUGAUUUAGAAUGUUGUGUUGUGUUAUUUAGGCUUUUUUAUUUUUAUUUCUAUAUCUCUGAAAAAUCAAGAUUUUAUAUCAAAGAGCAAAGUUUUUAUAUGUCACAGACAAAAAGGUUAAAAGACCCAAUUUUAAAAAUUCUAUUCACUGAGAAGUAAAUUUUGCUAAUUAUUGUUUUUCUUUGUGUGUGUGUAUCUGUCUGUCUAUCUAUCUACCUAUCCAUCUGUCAAUGUAUCGGUCUUUUAGAAUGGAAAGUCUUAAUCUUUAAAAAUCAAACAUGAACAGCCUUAUAUAAAUUAAAUAACUACCUUGAAUUUUUUAAAAUGUACAAGAAAACCGUAGAUUGUAUGUAUAUUUCAAAACAAAAUGUAAUAAUAAAUAUGCUUUUAGAAGUAGGUUAUGCAUAUUAAGUAAUUAUUUGAGAGCAUACCAUUGAUUAAAUUCUGCAGUGUUAUAGGUAAGGUUUCCCUUCUAGAUUUUUUUUUCAGCUCUAUUGAAAUAUAAUUUACAAAAUUGUAAGAUAUUUAAAAUGUACACCGUGAUGAUUUGAUAGAAGCAUACACUGUGAAAGUGUUUUUCCCAUCUAGUUAAUUAACACAUCCAUCACCUUCUGUAUUUAUCUUUUUUUUAAAAGAAGACAUUUAAGUUCUGCUCUCUUAACAAAUUUCGAUUAUUCAUACAGUGUUAUCAACUAUAGUCACUAUGUUACACAUUACAUUUUCAGACCUUAUUCAUCUUAUAGCUGAAAGUUUGUACCAUUUUAUCAACCUCUCUCUAAUUUCCUCACUCCCCAGCUCUGCCCUUUUUAGCAUUUAUAGACUGGUAUCUUUUGAUGUCUUAACAAGACUGAAUAAACAAAGUUGUGAAGG
rnacentral:lncRNA from 1 species